CAAAUGAAUUGACGGGGCCGCACAAGCGUGGAGCAUGUGGUUAAUUCGACGCAACGCGAAGAACCUUACCAGGGCUUGACAUCCCCUGACCGCGUAUGAAAGUACGUUUUCACCCUCGGGUGACAGGGAGACAGGUGGUGCAUGGUUGUCGUCAGCUUGUGUCGUGAGAUGUUGGGUUAAGUCCCGCAACGAGCGCAACCCCUACGUUUAGUUGCUAACGCGUGAAGGCGAGCACUCUAGACGAACUGCCGUUGACAAAACGGAGGAAGGUGGGAUGACGUCAAAUCAUCAUGCCCCUUAUGUUCUGGGCUACACACGUGCUACAAUGGCCGGUACAGACGGACGCAAAGCCGCGAGGUGGAGCAAAUCCUAAAAAGCCGGUCUCAGUUCGGAUUGCAGGCUGCAAUUCGCCUGCAUGAAGUCGGAAUCGCUAGUAAUCGCAGGUCAGCAUACUGCGGUGAAUACGUUCCCGGGCCUU
rnacentral:rRNA from 1 species